rnacentral:rRNA from 1 species
UGGGGAAUUUUGGACAAUUGGGCGAAAGCCUGAUCCAGCAAUGCCGCGUGUGUGAAGAAGGCCUUCGGGUUGUAAAGCACUUUUGUCCGGAAAGAAAUCCUUGGCUCUAAUACAGUCGGGGGAUGACGGUACCGGAAGAAUAAGCACCGGCUAACUACGUGCCAGCAGCCGCGGUAAUACGUAGGGUGCAAGCGUUAAUCGGAAUUACUGGGCGUAAAGCGUGCGCAGGCGGUUUGCUAAGACCGAUGUGAAAUCCCCGGGCUCAACCUGGGAACUGCAUUGGUGACUGGCAGGCUAGAGUAUGGCAGAGGGGGUAGAAUAUCCACGUGUAGCAGUGAAAUGCGUAGAGAUGUGGAGGAAUACCGAUGGCGAAGGCAGCCCCCUGGGCCAAUACUGACGCUCAUGCACGAAAGCGUGGGGAGCAAACAGGAUUAGAUACCCUGGUAGUCCACGCCCUAAACGAUGUCAACUAGUUGUUGGGGACUUCAUUUUCCUUAGUAACGUAGCUAACGCGUGAAGUUGACCGCCUGGGGAGUACGGUCGCAAGAUUAAAACUCAAAGGAAUUGACGGGGUC